rnacentral:rRNA from 1 species
CUAGUGAUUCCUACGGGGGGCAGCAGCAGGGAAUAUUGCGCAAUGGACGAAAGUCUGACGCAGCAACGCCGCGUGAGCGAUGAAGGUCUUCGGAUCGUAAAGCUCUGUCAGAGGGGACGAACCGUCUCACAUUGAAUAGGUGUGAGAUCUGACGGUACCCUCAGAGGAAGCACCGGCCAACUCCGUGCCAGCAGCCGCGGUAAUACGGAGGGUGCAAGCGUUGUUCGGAUUUACUGGGCGUAAAGCGCGAGCAGGCGGGUCAGUAAGUCUUGUGUGUAAUCUUUCGGCUUAACCGAAAAACUGCACGGGAAACUACUGAUCUUGAGUGCGAGAGAGGAUGGCGGAAUUCCUGGUGUAGCGGUGAAAUGCGUAGAUAUCAGGAGGAACACCGGUGGUGAAGGCGGCCAUCUGGCUCGACACUGACGCUCAUUCGCGAAGGCCGGGGGAGCAAACAGGAUUAGAUACCCUGGUAGUCCCGGCAGUAAACGAUGGGUACUAGGUGUUGGAGGAUUCUACCCCUUCAGUGCCGCAGCUAACGCAUUAAGUACCCCACCUGGGGAGUACGAUCGCAAGGUUGAAACUCAAAGGAAUUGACGGG